ACACACACACACACACACUGAUUGUGGCCAUGAGGCAUUGCAGGGAUAGCUGGAGUCACUGAGAUGGAUGAGACCUGUCCACUGAAUUGUUGCUGGAAUACCAGCGAUGUCAAGACUUCCUGGAGGAGAAGAAACAUGGCCCUUUCCUAGCUGCAUCACACGCCUGCACAAACUCCUCGCAGAAACCGGAAUGAAAUUGUUUCUUUGUUUUGGAGUCAUAAUUAAGGACGUGAACCUACUCAAAAUGAACGCUCCUGAAGUCUGCCUGGACAGGAGAGGUUACUUGGGAUUUCUCCUCGAUCAGAUUGGAGUCCACAUCGAUAAAACUGACAUUUGAGUUCUGAACUGUGUGUAAACCGUCAGCCCCACCCCGUGUCUUCCCGGCUCUGGAAGUGGAGUGCAGUUUCUAUGGCAACCCAACUGCUGUGACUCACUCGUCCCCCAGCGUCUUCGUGUCUGCUGAUCUGUCGGUUGGUAUGACGACUCUCAAAAGUGUAGCUUUGGGAACUUCUCCCCUGAAACGCGGUGAACCCAAGAAAAGCCAGCUAUCUCUGCUUCUCCAUCUCUUCUCAGGCAACCUCUAAUUGGAGAUUAAUUUCUAUGGGAGAAAAACAAGAGAGGGAGAGCGAGGAAUGCCCUGUCCAGUUGUAAUGUUAGAUGUUUGGAGGAGGAGGAGGAGGGAAGUUGAAUCAGAUUCUCAUGAAGUGAUAUCUCCUUCCUUGUCCUCCCCAUAAAAUGAAGAUUUGGAUGUGCAGACUGGACCACUGGAGAACAGGCUCGUAAUGCCUGGGCCCUGGCCUGAACACCAGGUGGUCUCUGUCAGGGCUGGGUGAUUUAUGCUCUCUCCCUCUUCAGCCACUUUUAUUUAGUUCAGGGGGAAUUUACCAUCGCAGAGGUCAUGGGCACCACAACCGCUGGUGGCUCGUGUGAGGAAAUGGAAAGAUUCUUUUGUAAAGCAUCCCUACUAAAAAUACUGCAGGCUUUGCUGUGAGAAUACGUCAAUGUAUUUGUGGUACUUGCUCGUUAAUAUGCCAUACCUUGAUGCCAGUGCUGGGGUUAGGAUUAAGCGGUUACUGUUUGUAAUGUUCUGAUUCUGAAUGUGUGUUUUAAAUCUUGGUGUUGCAGCUUUGCAGGGUGCCCUGUAAAAGAUAAUAUCACUCUG